rnacentral:rRNA from 1 species
CAAAAACAUUUUUUAAUGAAGUAAUAUUAAAUAAGACCUGCUCCUUGUAAAAUAAAAAGCCGCAGAAAAUUCACUGUGCUAAGGUAGCAUAAUCACUUGUCCUUUAAUUAAAGACUAGAAUGAAAGGUUUAACACUUAAUUAACUUUUAUUGGCUACACCCCUUUAACUUUCAAUAAAAAUUAAAAUAUUUUUAUAUUGGUAAAAGACGACAAGACCCUAUCGAGCUUAACUGUAGUUUAGCUGGGGAAGCUAAAUAAUAAUAAUCUUACUCCAUCACAUUUGAAUAAAUACCCUUUUAAAAGAAAGUAAUCAAGCUACCGAAGGGAUAACAGCGUUAUAUAUUUUCAAAGCUCAUAUUAAUAAAUCUAUAUACGACCUCGAUGUUGAAUUAAUUUUGCUUACCCGUGCAAGAAUGGGGAAAGUGAGUCUGUUCGACUUUUAAAAAAUUACAUGAUCUGAGUUCAAACCGG